rnacentral:rRNA from 1 species
AACGAACGCUGGCGGCAUGCCUAACACAUGCAAGUCGAACGGGAUCCUAGCUUGCUAGGUGAGAGUGGCGGACGGGUGAGUAACACGUGGGAAUCUGCCUUUUGGUUCGGGAUAACCGCGGGAAACUGCGGCUAAUACCGAAUGCCCUCGAGAGAGGAAAGAUUUAUCGCCAGAAGAGGAGCCCGCGUCCGAUUAGGUAGUUGGUGGGGUAAAGGCCUACCAAGCCGACGAUCGGUAGCUGGUCUGAGAGGAUGAUCAGCCACACUGGGACUGAGAUACGGCCCAGACUCCUACGGGAGCAGCAGUGGGGAAUAUUGGACAAUGGGGGCAACCCUGGAUCCAGCAAUGCCGCGUGAGUGAUGAAGGCCUUAGGGUUGUAAAGCUCUUUUGCCAGGGAAGAUGAUGACUGUACCUGGA